rnacentral:lncRNA from 1 species
GGGUACUACAAUUCCCUCGGUUGCAUAGGUGCAGAAAGCAAGACGUAAAAGGAGUUUAAGAUGCCCGAGGUCAUGUGAUCAUUAUAGUUACAGUCAUAACACUAUACUGUAUGGUCUUCCAAAUAAUACGUGAUAAGAGACUCACGCUCUGUCACCAUGAGAUGACACCAUGUCACUAUCUAUCUGGAGAUAACUUAAGGAGUCCUUGGGCUGACAGCCAGGUGUAAGGGUGAACUUGGGAGAGUAGUUGAAAAAACAUUGCUGGCAGGUUUGCUUGCGCAAAAUGCGGCGUGGGAUAAAAGGCCAAUGUGGCUCAAGUUCAGAGAGUGAGGUGGAGAGUAAUGUGACAUGAGGCUUCGUAGACGGAAGCAAAUUAAUUUAUUCCCUGUGUGCCAGAUCUAAGGAGGAGGCUUUACCUUUAAAAAGCCCCUGAAGGAUUUUAAGGAGGGAAGUGAUAAGGUUGUGUGUGUUCUGCAUAUCCACUGUCAUGGUCCGACAGCCUUGAACUUCUGGGAUAAGGCAGAUUUUUGAGUCUUCUGCACUGCUGUCCUUAUGUCUCCCUUUCUUCUUCAGAAUGACCGUGUUCACCUUGAGGUUUGAGGUUGAAUGUAUCACUUGCAUCUUUUGCCUUUCACCUAAUCUAAGUUCGACCUAAGGAGAAAAUUUUACACUACAACUCUUUAAAGAAAGGUCCUUUUAAUGUUUGUUAGCUACUCACAGUUCAGUCAUUAACAAUUUAUUGAGCAUUUGCUUAGUACGAGAUUCUGGAGCUAAAGAGAAGCAAAAGCCAUUUUCCUGUACUUGAGAUGCUUUUAUUUUCCUGGGGUAAUAGGAAUGUAAAUAGGUAUUUAAAAUGCAGUGUGGCAAAUGCUUAGUGGAGAAAGGAGCUGGAUCAGGAAGCGGUUGGGGAUAGGGAAAAACAGCAUUUGAGGAAGAGCAAACGUGGAGGGCAGGGACUUGCAAAAGGGCACACGGGAAGAUGCUCUCCACGUGGCUGUAAUUCUGUGGGAUUUAGGUUGAUCCCCGGCCUCACUCAGUGGGUGAAGGAUCCAGGAUUGCUACAAGCUGUGGAGUAGGUGACAGAUGUGGCUUGGAGCCAGUGUUGCCAAGGCUGUGGUGUAGGCCUCAGCCACAGCUCCGUUUUGACCCCUGACUGCAAGUGCCGCCAUAAAAGGGGAAAAAAAAAAUCAUGAAGCCUUGAGAAUAGGCCUUUGGUGACCAGUGUGAAAGCAGGCGAGGAGAAAAAUCACCUUGUUUUGAGUACUGCACUCAACCAAAUUGCCUCGAUGGCAGAAAUAUUUGCCAAAUGUAUGUUAUUUAACGUAGAAAACACUCCCUCCUAGACUGCAGGCCGGUGAUGAAACGUGGGUGAGAAGCAGGUGAAUGAGCCCAGCCAGGCAAGCAGCUGAGCCUGCUUAUUAGGAGAUGUGAGAGCAUGCCCGCCUGAAAAACUCCCAUGGCUUUGCUCGAAUUCUCAUCCCUCCGAAAGUAGAGAAAGGGCGGGGUGAAGUAGACGCCUGCCUUUGCCUGAAGACGCAGUUGACUGAUGCUGUUGAAUGAUGAGCAGCAAGAGAUGCGGGAGACCCUGGAUCCUCCAGGUCCGUCCACCCUGUGAUCCCGGGCUGACACGGCCCAGCCUUCUUCACGGGCCGUGGAAGAACUCCAUUCAGAGGCAGUCGUGAUAAACCAGAGCAUCAGCCCUUUCCGCUGGGAUACCAAUAAGUCUUGAACUUCAAAACUGCUGACCUAAAAAGGAUACUUGAGAAGGAGCAAGUCUUUCCUUUUUUCUUUUAAAGAAAGCAACACCAGAAGCAGUCGAACUUCCUUGUUCACUUAGGUGCAUGCAAAAAAGAAAAGUUUACUCUGCUUCAGGACCCUCUCUUACCCCUCAUGGCGUGAGCCUGAAGCCUGUCCACUGAGGAGCGUUCUAAGAACUUCCAGAUCAUUCCAUGGAACUACAGCAGAAAGGACCCGAGGUGAGAAGAGGUAUUGUGCCAUCUUUUAGGUUCCUUGUUACUGGUUUAAGGUCUUAGACAUGCAUCCUUCCUUAUUGUAGCAAUAGCUAUCAUGUCAAUACCAGGCCCCGUGCAUUUGAUUCUGUGUUCAAACCUUUCAGGUUAAAUACUAUUAAUAUUUGCCAUUUGGCAAAUGGGCAGAUUAAGUCUUGGAAACCCUCAGUGACUGGCCAGAUCACACAAGUCAGUGAAUCCAUCAGGUUCUAAAGCUCAAGCUCCGAACUAUUUUGCUUUAUUUACUUCUUGGGCUAAAAAAUUCAGAAUCAAUGUGGUGAAAAGCCAGAAAUCACAAUCUAACCACAUGCAAAACAUUUGCUGAAAGCUUUCAUUAAAAAUAGCCAACAGGAGCUCCCAUCACAGCGCAGGGGAAACUAGGAACCAUGAGGGUGUGGGUUCAAUCCCUGGCCUCACUCAGUGGGUUAAGGAUCCAGCAUUGCCAUGAGCUGUGGUGUAGGUCACAGAUGCAGCUCGGAUCUGGCGUGGCUGUGGCUGUGGCAUAGGCCAGCAGCUGUAGCUCCAAUUGGACCCCUAGCCUGGGAACCUCCAUACGUGGUGGGUGCAGCCGUAAAAAGCAAAAAAAAAAAGUCCAAAAUAUUGUGAAGCUGUUUGGAGGGGACAUAUACAAAAUAAAUGAAAAGAACUGUUGUUUCUCUUGAAUAGUAUUCUUGUAGGGCUUAUGUGAUAACUGCAAACUGGAAACGACUGGAUAUUGCACCAAGUUGCUGGGGCUGAUUACAACGGCCCCAUAAAAGGAAGGACCAUCAUUGUACAAACCUGUCUCUUCCAGGCCACCACCCAUUGAACUGAAGAUGUAUUUCCAUCAUAUCCUAUUCUGACAUGUCAGCCCCUAACCGACUUAACUAGCUAGUAUCACUAACUUAAAACCCAAAUCAGUAGGUACUUAGGGAAAAAAGGGUUUUCACUGCUCUAAAAACACAUUCCUUCCCUUUGUUUGUUUGUUUGUUUUUUAAGGGCGCACCCACUGCAUAUGGAGCUUCCCAGGCUAGGGGUCGAAUUGGAGCUGUAGUUGACAGCCUACGCCACAGCCACAGCAAUGCGUGGUCCGAGCUGCGCCUGCAACCGACAGCACAGCUCAUGGCCAGAUCCUUAACCAGUGAGCAAGGCCAGGGAUCGAACCCGCAACCUCUUAGUUCCUAGCCGGGUUCGUUUCCUCUGAGCCACGACAGGAACUCCAUCCUUCCCUUCUUUAUUAAAGGUAGUGUUAAAUCGGCACAGUGUGAGAGCCGCCCUGAACUCGGAAGCACUUGCAUCCGAGAUGGACGCAGAAGCCCAGGCAGCUCUAGUUCCUGUUCUGGGCUGCACUGGUUAUAUACGGCCCAUACACAAAGGAAAGGCCCCAGUACUGCCUCUUUCAUCCAUAAUUUUAAGUAAGAUUGAAAGACAUGCCCCAAAAUGCCAUUGGCUUGAUUCAUGUACUGUCUUCAGUCAAAUCUCAACAUUCCAUUCCAAACACGAAAUAUAUGUUUUUAAUGUAAAUAAGUAAACUUUCCAGCUCCGAAUACGAGGGGGUGGGAAGCCUUUAUCUUGGCGGGGGUUGGGCAGUGCAGCCGUCUAACCUCCUUCAAGUAGCCUUCGAAUCCCUUAAAGUGAAAGUGCUUGUUAUUUGUCUUUAGCAAAUAAAACAAACAGCACUCUUUGAUCUUUAGGAAGCUCUUUCUUGUUCAAGUAACAUUCUGUCUGACUUUUAUGUUUCAGCAUUGUAUAUUUAAUUAUUUUUUAAAGUUUUGUUUUCAAUGAUUACACUUUUUCAUAACUUAGGAUAAACACAGGCAUGCUUUGUUAAAGAUUAAAAAUAAAUCUCACAAAACUGCAAAAGGUGGCAAAGAUAAUACCACAUGGGGUCGGUAUGUUCCAAAACACGAUUCUCAGGGGACCCCCUCUAAACACACUGCUUCAUUAGAAUUCUUGUUCUGAAAAGUUUCAGGAAGCCCCUGACUCUAACCCACCCUUUCCUGAAACUGGUGAAAGUAGGAAAAAAAAUUUCCCCUGCAGUGAAAAAUAGAAGAAUCUCUACACAUCAGGGAGGCAUGUUGUGUCUUUUUUUAGAUUGUUCCUCGGUGCAAAAAUACCUUGCUGCUAACUUUAUCAUGUCCUUCAAACAGGGAACACACUGGGAUAGCAAUCACAAAAACAAGUGUGUUUACAUCAUUCAGUAGAUAUGUUAUCAAAGGAUGGCUUUUAAUUCAACUUGAGAGUAAUUUCUAGAGCUUAGUACAUUGAAAACAGCAUCUCACUGCAACCUAUUCAAUAUUGACUGUGACCGUUAAUAAAUAAGGGAACUUUUGGAAAUAGCAAGAUAGAGAUAGAAACAGAUUUUUCCUUGGCGACUCAUUUUGCAGCCUUUUCAGACAUAUCUUUGAAUGUUCACUUGUUCUUCCACUUUAUUCCUCCUAUUGCAUUUCCUUUAUUCUUUCUGAAACAUUUCCUCUUUCUGCGGUUGGGAGAGCGGUCGGCCCUCAGGGGUCUGGGACGAGGCGGUCUGAAAUGCUAGUGCAGUUCUUGAAGCAGACGGUAGGUGGCGAUGAAAAGCCGUGCCUCUCUGCCAGCCGUCCUUUCUGGAAGUCCCAAAUCAGAAGUGUGAAAAGUCAGAGCUAAGAGGACAGGGGAGAGAGCAGACAGGAACCAGAAAAUGUGGGUGCUGCACCUCCGGGAGACACCCACAUUUACGACUAGGAUCCAGCUUCCUUACUUUCAGAUGGGAAACGAGUCUACUGCAGCUGAAGAAAUUAAAUAUGUAGACCCAAUGAUAUCUAAAUGAGGGUUCCACUUACUCAGUGCUCCUGAUUUUGCACAUUCUAACAUGCCAGUGCCAUUUGCUAAAACUAAACAAAAAUGCACACAUGUGAAUUCAAUAAAGUAUUAAAAAGUGGGUUUUUUUUUUUUUUUUUUUAAGUUUAGAAUUACAGGAGUCUUUUACAGACCUUUCAUAACGUCAGAUUCCUGGAAGGAAAAUCUUUUCCAUAAGGAAUAAUGAAAUAGAAAGGUUUUCUAGAGUUUCUCUAAGAGAACAGGGAAUGAAUUGCCCAAAGAUGUCAAGCGGAGCCGUAGCUAUGGUCCUUAGCUCGGAGUGGAAUGUGAUCGGCCAUCGGAAAGGAAUGCAGUCUGUGUUCGCUGGAAUGAAGUGGGCUUUAUGAGUUAUUCUUUCCCAGGACCAAAAAUUGACAAUCGGUUGGCCUAAAUGAAAGUGUUGCUCUUUGGACAGAGUUGUGGGAAUUAGGAGAGAGACUUAGACAGCUACAAGUUCAAGCACAUUGCUGCCCUGGCAUUGGGCCCACUGCAGUCUGAGUAAAAUAGAGCUAAAAGCCAAUUAAUGGAGGGUUAACUCUUCCUUAAAACCUGGAACUAUAUCAUCUUGCAAUUAGAGAUCCUGUGUUCUGACCACUCUCCAGAAGGAAGUAUCGCCGGAGGGACAUCUUUGAGAGGCGACUUCCAGACAUCUUCUGGAACAUUCUGAAGCAGGAGCGCCAGCAGCCUUUCAGAAGACCCCAUUCCAUCCCUGCGCCCUCGAUUUCAGCAUUUCUUCAACUGUAUGGAACACACAGACAUACUCUUGGAGGCCUCAGAGUUCUAAAAACGAUCUGCAAAUUUUUGUCUUUUCCUUGGGAUCGCCAUCCAAAAGGAAGUGAUACGUGAGCCUCCUCCGGUGACUGCGUUUCUUUUUUAAUUAGUACACUUUAUGUGGACGAGUGGUUUGAGGUUUACAGAGAAACUGAGUGAAAAGUGUAAACUCACCUUCCAGCCCUGACUCCUCCACCUCCAGUUCCCACGAUUAACAGCUUCCGUCCGGGUGGCAUAUUCGUCACAGUUGAGGAGCCCAUAGUAAUACAUUCUUAUUCAUUAAAGCCCAUACUUGGCACUGGGGUUCAUUCUCUGCGUUAUACAUCCUAGGAGUUUUGACAAAUGCAAUGACUCCUUUUUAUCCGAGGACCACCAGAGAGAUUUUCAGUCUUACCUUGCUUUUGUGUUUCGAGACCGGUUCCGCUUUAAUUGUCCCGGAUGAGUAAGACAGGAACAGAGUUGGACUUAAUAGGCAACACGUGAUGUCAGUUUUAGUGAUGGAAACUCACACGCCUCAGACAUGAAGGUUUGUCUGUGGUUCAGAAGAAGAAACGAGUUUGCUUGGAGUUACCCCAAGACGUGCUGUGGUCCGCCCUCCCCAAGGCAGACGCCGUCAUCGCUGCCGUGUUCACAUCCUGAAAGGUGAUGUUUGUUUCAGCAAAUAGUAUUUCUCACAUUAAUAUAAGGCUAUUGCAAUAUCGCUGACAUUGUAGUUUGCAUUUGCCUUUGCAUUUGGAGGCGUAGUUUAAUUUGUAAGUUUGCACCACUGUGAGUAUAGGGACUUUAUACCUAGUCAUAUGCCCAUAAUUAAGAAAUGCUUUAGAGAAAAUAUUUGUACAUGAUAUGACUGAUAGGAGGGGACUAUCCAAAAUAUGUAACAGCUCAUACAACUCAGUAUCAAAAAAAAAAAAACAAACAAAACAAAACACAAUUAAACGUGGGCAGAAGACCUUGAUAGAUGUUUUUCUAGAGAAGACAGGCAGAAGGCCAACAGCCACAUGAAAAAAUGGUCACUAUAAUUACACCAGAGAAAUGUGAGUCAAAGUCGCCAUGAGAACACCUCACAGCUGUCAGAAUGGCUACCAUCAAAAAGACCACACAUAACAAACGUUGGCAAGGAUGUGGCGAAAAGAAACACUUACACACUGCUGGUGGGCGUGUAAACUAGUGCAGUCACUGUGGACGUCAAUGUGGGGGUUCCUCCAAAACUAAAAGUAGAACUACCACAUGAUUCCGCAAUUCCACUCCUGAGUGUGUGUCCCAAGACACUGAAAGCACUCAUUUGAAAAGAUGUGUGCACCCUGGUGUUUGCAGCAGCAUUAUUUAUGGCAGCCAAGAGGCGGAAGCAAGCCAAGUGCCCAUCCAUAGAUGAAUGAAGAAAAUGUGGUGUAUAUGUAGAUAUUCGUGUGUGUGUGUGUGCGUGUGCGUGUGCGUGCCAUACAAAGAAGGAGAUUCUGCCAUUUGGAGCAAUAUCAAUGGACCUCGAGAAUAUUAUGCUCAGUGAAAUAAGACAGACAGAGAAAGAUAGAUACCGUAUGAUAAAAAUUCUACAUGGAAUCUAAUAAAUAAAACAAACGAAUGUAUAUAACAAAACAG